UGAGUUGUAGUUUAACGGAAAAACACCAUUUUUUGGUAAUGGCUAAUGGUCGUUCGAAUCGGCCCAACUCAG
rnacentral:tRNA from 2 species